rnacentral:rRNA from 1 species
UGGGGAAUAUUGCACAAUGGAGGGAACUCUGAUGCAGCGACGCCGCGUGAGUGAUGAAGGAAUUCGUUUCGUAAAACUCUGUUCUAUGGGAAGAAAAGGACUGUACCAUAGGAGAAAGCUCCGGCUAAAUACGUGCCAGCAGCCGCGGUAAUACGUAUGGAGCGAGCGUUGUCCGGAAUUAUUGGGCGUAAAGGGUGCGCAGGCGGCCUUACAAGUUGGAUGUGAAAUAUUGUGGCUCAACCACAAACGUGCAUCCAAAACUGCAAAGCUUGAGUUAAGGAGAGGUAAGUGGAAUUCCUGGUGUAGCGGUGGAAUGCGUAGAUAUCAGGAGGAAUACCGGUGGCGAAGGCGACUUACUGGACUUAAACUGACGCUCAGGCACGAAAGCGUGGGGAGCAAACAGG